UACGAAGGGGGCUAGCGUUGCUCGGAAUCACUGGGCGUAAAGCGCACGUAGGCGGACUCUAAUCGGUGGUGAAACUCCUGGAGCUCAACUCCAGAACUGCCUUCGAUACUGAGAGUCUCGAGUCCGGGAGAGGUGAGUGGAACUGCGAGUGUAGAGGUGAAAUCGUAGAUAUUCGCAAGACACCAGUGGCGAGGCGGCUCACUGGACCGUACUGACGCUGAGGUGCGAAAGCGUGGGGAGCAACAGG
rnacentral:rRNA from 1 species